GGUGCAGAGCAAAACCACUAGCUGGUGGACAUUCACGUGAGAAAGAAAGACACCUUUGUUCUGUAGGCUGCUGGGAUUUGGUGGUUCUUUGUUACCAAAGCACAAGAGUCUGUGCUCAUGGAUUCCAAGGAUGAGAAGGAAAAAUUGGGUAGGAAUACGCUUUUAUUUCCAGCUGAUCAAAGUUUCAGACAUGGUAUUGGGACUUACAGACAACCCAUGAAGGGGGGCAUGUCACUUCCAUUGCUUUUUGUAGAGUCCCUAAGCAGAUGUCUCAUCAAUAGCCACUCUAUUCAAAGCUCAGUGACAUUCUUAAACUUGUUCUUUCUUCAGCACAGCUCUUUGAUGAUGCGGGGUCGGUGAGCCGAGGAGUCGAAAGAAAGAUUUCUUAGACUCUCAAGAUCUGGCAGUAGUGCUCUUUUAUUUAGAGAAUAGUGUAGCAUGGGGACAGGACCCAUGGGCAGUCAGAGCUUCUGCUGCUGCCGCUUCUGCUGCCCCCGCUGGCAUGGGGACAGAGCCCAUGGGCAGGCAGAGCCGCUGCUGCUGCCCCCGCUGGCAUGGGGACGGAGCCCAUGGGCAGGCAGAGCCGCUGCUGCUGCCCCCGCUGGCAUGGGGACGGAGCCCCUGGGCAGGCAGAGCUGGUGCAUGGGGACAGGACCCACGGGCAGUCAGAGCUCCUGCUGCUGCUUCUGCUGCCCCCGCUGGCAUGGGGACAGGACCCAUGGGCAGGCAGAGCUGGUGCGUGGGGACAGGACCCACGAGCAGUCAGAGCUCCUGCUGCUGCUGCGGCUGCUGCUGCCCCCGCUGGCAUGGGGGCAGGACCCAUGGGCAGGCAGAGCUGGUGCGUGGGGACAGGACCCACGGGCAGUCAGAGCUCCUGCUGCUGCCCCGAGUUGAGGGUUAGGGCUAAAUUUAAGGCAUAGGUAUGUGAGUCAUCUCUUUACGAAGACAAAGGAAAGAACAUGAAAAAAAGUUAAAAUGGUAUCAGUGCAGGUGGGGUCUGGUCGUUGGGUGAUCCCAUGACUUUUAGACAAGAAUCAAAUCGGAUUAAGUAAAGGUUAGAAAGGUUAGACGCCACCACCCUAAACCAGUUACAUGAGAUUGCCAGACAGCAACCAACUUAAGUUCUUGCCUUCCCCAUUAAGAGCUUCUAGGGACAAGGUCAUCUCUCCUCUUCUUCCUGGUACAGAGAGGGAGGCACCUUUUACAGAUAGAGAUUUACCUUACAAAUGUAAAUGUGUCCCAACAAGGGCAAGUUCCAUUCCCCAGAGCCUCCUUCCCUGUCCCAGUUUAUCGAAAGCAAUCAGCCCAAAACAAUCCUGAUGCCAAAGAGACAUAUCCUGGGGUGGCCAAUUUCGGGUCCCUACAAGGUCACCCCCCCUUCCUUCACAAACGCAAAUGUCUCUCAGAAGGGCAAGCAAAAUUCCAGUCCUCGGAGCCUGCUCCUCAUCUGUAGUUUUAAAAGUAACCAGCCUAAAAUCCUCAUCACUAAUAACAUUCAAAUUAAUUUGAUAUGACAAACACUCUUUUUUUUUGAGGAAGAUUAGCCCUGAGCUAACAUCCCUUGCCAAUCCUCUUCUUUUGGCUGAGGAAGAUUGGCCUUGAGCUAAUGUCUGUGCCCAUCUUCCUCUAUUUUAUAUGAGAUGCCUGCCACAGCAUGGCUUGAUAAACAGCGCGUAGGUCCAUGGCUGGGAUUCGAACCAGUGAACACUGGGCUGCUGAAACGGAGCAACUUAACAGCUGGACCACCAGGCUGGCCCCCACAAACACUUUUAAUGAAUUGCUAAAAUUGAGUUUAACAGUAUAAUAAUGUGCUUGGACAUUUUCUAUUUUACUUGUGGUUAACUUGAUUCCUUACAUUUUGCUUUGCGUGGACCUGGACCAUCUUCUAAGUCAUUAACACUGUUGAUAUUUUCUCUUUUUAACAGUAAGCUGUUUUUAAACUACUCUUACAUUUAUUUUAAUGACCCCAUCGUUUCAAUAGUUGUGCUCCAAAUUAUAAUGCUGAAAAAGAUUUAACAAAAUAUUCUUCGCAUUCUUACUACCAUGCUUACUGGUAAUCAUGGUUUGCAAGUUGGUAUGUGUAGAGAUAGAAGGAGCGUAGUAUAUCUAUUCUAGGUAUAUAUAUGGGUUAUGAUAAUGUCAGUCCUUUCGAGUAGAGCUUGCUUAUGCGACUGUGUGUGCUUUCAUCACUCAAUUUUCCUUCACUGAAUUCUACUCAUUUCUAUUUGAAAUACUCUGAUAACAUUGUUUUCACAUUUUUCAUUUAUUAAAUACUCAUUAACACAUGAAGGUUGCCUCUAUUUUUUACCCACUAACCCAAGAUAAUUAAGAUAACAUAAUAUUCUGUUGCAUUUGUUGAUACAUCAUGGCAAAUCAAAGUCUAAAUUUAUUAAAUAAUAAGCAAACCUCUUACUCAAUGAAAAUGUUUUCCAGUUGUAAAUUAUCACUGCAAAAGAAAAGUGUAGCUUUUCUAUCUGGGGGCGUAUUUAACUCUGCGUGCAAGGUCAGAUAUGGAGUGUUUGCUGUCAUUUGCACAUUAGGACGAUGUCUAUUAUUGAAAGAUUUCUUGGGGCUAAAAUUCCAAUCAUGUAAGUUAGUAUUUGUUCACACUGGUAGCUUUGUCCCUUUGUCCUUCAUUGCCAAGCAACCAAAGAAAGUGGUUAGGUACCCUUAAGAGUAUGGUAUAAACCUACUAGGCUUUGUUGUAUUUGAAUUAUGCCUAGGAAAUUUCAUAUGUGAACAAAAUUAUUAUGGUUACAACUUAAUUAGCACAUCACAUAUGCCAGAAACUUUACCUACAUUAUUUUAUUUAACCCUCACUUUUACUUAUGAGGGUUAAAUCCAAGAUCAACAUCUUUCUAGAUAUUUUAUGUUCAAAAGUAUUUAACAAGGCUUAGGAUCCCAGUGAACCAAUGUAGAGGAUGCUAUAGUGUGCCACCAGGUCCCCUUUCAAGACUCAGGCACUCAUUUCCCCAGCUGCUGGGGCUGAAAGAAGUUCUGCUUUUUUCUUAACCCGGUGCGUCUUAACUGAGAGUGAUUUUACCUCCCCCACCCACACCCCCACCAGGUGGAUAAUUGGGAAAGUCUGCAGACUUUUUUGAUUGUUGUAAAUGGGGGAAAGGUUUGCUACUGGCAUCUAGUGGGUAAAGGCCAGCAUACUGCUAAACUCCCUACAACGCACAGGACAUUCCCCUACAUCAAAGAAUUAUUUUGUCCAAAUAGCCAUAGUGCUGAAGUUGAGAAAUCCUGGCUUAAAACCACAGGUCUUGUUCCUGUUAGCCUUUCCUGAUAAAAUUCUUGCACUCAAUUCUGAGUUUCAGAAUCUUAGAAUCAGAUAUAAGCCAACUUAUAUCAGAGAACUGUGAAGCAAUUCCAGUGCCCUGGUUAGUAUUUGUGUUUACGCUAUCACUGGCAUCCUGUGUUUUAAGAGCAUCUGGCUGGUAAGGAAGAAGUUUGCUAUUCUAAUAUGUAUUGGUAUUUCCUAGAAGCUAAUCAAAAUAAACCAGUAAAAGACUCAAUCAGAAAGUAAUGAUACACAUGAAGACCCUGAGUGCAUUACUUAUGUGACUUUGAAACCUUAGGAGAAUAAAUUCUGUUAAAGAUUAUUGGGGAGGAAAGUGUUUUAAAUACCUUUGCUCAUAAAGAAGGAUAAAUGAGGAGAAAAGACUCUUCAUCGUCAAUGAAACUAGCAACUAAAAUAACUCUUUAGUCCAAACCACUGGAGAAUUUGUGCCAAAGCCAAAGGAGGGAGGACACUGACUGCAGAUAAUUUCUUUUUCAAAUCUUUCAGCGUAUACAAGGGGAAAAUCGCUUAUUAUCUGGCUCUGAAGAGACUGGCCAUGAAUCUCCUACUUGGGAUGGCAAAGUCUGAGGCUGUGCAUGGCCUGUAUGAGAGACCUUGGGCCAAUUUCUGUAUUGCAGAGUGACACAGAUGACAAGACAGAGAAACUAUGCAAACAACUCAACUUUAAAAGAAGCAGGAGGCCAAUGGGUUAACAAAGAGGAAAGACAGUGGUAGCAAUCAACCUGACAACUGUUGUUGAGAAGAAAUAAAAAAGUUAAAUCAUUACAACUACCUUCUUCCUGCAAAGAAAUAAAAAUAGAAUUCCAUAACAUAUAGCUCUCCACAGUAAGCCAAGAGACCUACUGCUCACCCUGAGUGAAGAGUGUGUAUAUGUUUAUACCACACUGAUUGCUGAGAACACAAUCAACGUCCUCACUGGUGUGGACACAGAGUGGUGACACGUCCCAGGGCAGAAUAUACAGUAGAGUUGAGGAGAGUGUUCUGAGGCAAUAUACCUGAAUUUAAGCUGCUCGCUAUCCAUCUCACUCUCCCUUUCUUCCUAAUACUAGUUUUCAGGUAUUGACUAAUCAAGAAAGAAUAGCUCCUGUCCAAAAAAACUAAUAAUCAGAAAUUAACUAAGAUAUGAACGCAACAUUGGAAGUAGGGCAAAGGGCCAAAUAUUUUUCUCUAUGAAGUUUUCUUUUUUAUUCGGGAAGGGAAGCCUUUCCCAAGAACUCGUGUCUACGCUUAUUGGCAGAGAAGGGUCACGUGUCUACCACUACCUGUAAAGGAAGCUGCGAAGUUAAGUAUUUUACUUCAAACCUCCGUACUAAUGGAAGUUGAGGGAGAAGGAGGUUGGAACAAGUAUAUGUCUGCCAUACAACUCCAAACAAGACAUGGCUGGGAUCAAAUCUCAGCCCUGCCAUUUACUAGCUUUGUGACAUUGGACAAGUCACUUAACCCCUCUGUGUCUUAGUUUCUCCUUCUUUAAAAUAAGGAUGGUGUUAUUAAGAGUACCUAAUUCAGAGGGUUAUGGUCAAGAUUAAAUGAAUUAUUGCAUAGAAAGCACUUAAAACAGUACGUGGCAUACACUGUUAGGUGUUAGUUAUUGUUAUCUGGACUCUAAGGAACUCUUUGACACUCAAAUAUUGUAAUUCCAUAAAUAUUUGUUUGAUGAUAACAGAUAGAAUUUACAAGAAUUACAAAUAAUUUAGCUUUGCGGUUAGAUCAUCUGCUUAAAAAUAUUAAAAUGUUCACUUCUCAUAGACAUGAACCAGUGCCAAUAAAUACUUUCAUUGGCUUAAAAGUGUUUUUAUUAGAAAAGAAAUAUGACUUGUGUAGUUGGACGAAACUUCCAGCAAGAGGGCUAGUGAACAUUGAAUGAUUAUAAGGAUUUAACUUUACUUUAAAAACAUCUGGAAAGAAUCUCUUAAGGGAGUUGUUCUACCUUAUUUUCUUUCAAGUUUAUAAACUAUAUUUAAGUUUUCCUAAGGAAGUAGCAAUGUGUCCUGAGGGGAAUUGUCACAGCUCCCUUCCCCAUCAGCCAAAGUUAACUCACCACGAACUGCAAAUUUAUAAAGACUCUCUUUGUCCUAUGACCUAAAACUAAGGUUUAUCCUAAAGAAAGAAGUCAGCUAAUAAAUAGAAAGGAGAGUUCAUUCUGACUGAGAACUUACUGAUGACUAAAAUGAAGGCUUGUAUCUGGGCUAAAAUUUUAUCUUUGAAAGUGCUUAUAGUUUACUGAGAGGAGAGGGUAAUUCACAAAUAACAUAACAAUUGCAGUUAAAGUCUUAAAAGAAAAGAGGAAUAUUGAUAGGCAUGCUUUGAGAAGGAGAGAGUACAUGCUAUGGGAUGAUCAAAGAAGGUGGUAAGGAGAUGACAUUUGAGCUUAUUAUUAAUGGAUAAAGCUGGUUUGGGACAGGUAGCAUUGGGAGGAUGGGUCUUUGUGGCAGAGGGAAAGAAGGAGCAGGCACCGGGGAGGAAAUUGUAAGACAGAUACUGCACCAAACAAUGGGAACAGAUAGAGUCAUGAGUGAGCCAUGAGCAAUUCUUCUCUCAGGGAGAUUCCCUUUCCAUAGAAAAGACAGAAAAUAAGUAAGAAGACAACUAAACACAUAAACAGAAUGAGGGUUGUGAAGCAAAUAAAGUAGGGUAAUGGAAAAGAUGGUGACUGGGACAGGUCCAAGCUGGGGCAGAGGUGGAAGGUGCAAUUUUAUAUAGGGUUGCCAUCACAUCAGCCUUUCUGAGAAGGGGACAUACGAGAAAAGACCUGAAAGAAUUGAAAACUGAAGAUCUGAACUUCCGAGUUAAAGGGAAGAGCAAGUGUAAGAGCUUUGAAAUGAGAAAAGCAGGAAUACCUGUGGUUCUGGAACACAGUGAAUGAGAAGCAUGGUAGAAGAUGAGGUUAGAGAGGGAGGCAGGAUCCAGAUUACCCAGGCCAAGUAAGCCUAGAUAGGGCUGGAUUUUAUUCUAAGUGUAAUGGGAAACUGCUGAAGAAUUUAAAGAAGAAAGCAAUAUGACCUGAUUUCCAUUAGUAAUAAUCGUAAAAAUCACCUUGCCCUCCUGUAGAAUGGGGGUAAGAAGGGUAACAAGGAGUCUGUGCAAAAGACAGUGCUGCAUUGGUUGAAGGCAGAUCUAGGUUCCAUAUGCUACGGGUACUGACAGGUCACAAGGAUCAAGAUUGGUAGGAUACCUGCUGUGCCAGGUGUUAAUCCUUGAGUUUCUACUUCAAGAACAGUCAUAGGGGGUGUCAGAGGAGGGCUCAGAGUGGCUGGCAGGGGCACCUGGCAGGCUCAGUGGAAUGGCUAAGAGGAUAUCUACUGGCCGGUGAGAAAUGGUUCAAUAUUUUCAUGACCAGUACAGCUGUAGAUGUCUUUCCUGGCUAUCUCAGCCCUGGUCUUGGGUGGAGGUUGUGGAGAUGGUGAGAAGUGGUCAGACUCAGGACUUACUCUGAAGAUAGAAAAUAAAAAUAGGCUUGCUCAUGAAUCUUGUAAAUAGGACUUACACCUUACAAAGGUAAGUGUGGUAAGACUUGGUGCUUAACAUUUGUUAUGAAUUCUUCUAAAAUAUAAUGCUUCACUUUAUAGUUUCAGUAAAGAAAAUAAUUUAAAAAAUAGUUUUCCUUUGCUGAUCUGAAUGUCUUACAAGGCUUCAGGAUUAUUUUCAUUGGAUAAUC
ensembl:lncRNA